GUAGGGAAUAUUGGGCAAUGGUCGGAAGACUGACCCAGCCAUGCCGCGUGCAGGAAGACGGCCCUCUGGGUUGUAAACUGCUUUUAUCUGGGAAGAAAAAGGCCAUGCGUGGCAAAUUGCCGGUACCAGAUGAAUAAGCACCGGCUAACUCCGUGCCAGCAGCCGCGGUAAUACGGAGGGUGCGAGCGUUGUCCGGAUUUAUUGGGUUUAAAGGGUGCGUAGGCGGCUGAUUAAGUCAGCGGUGAAAGACUUCGGCUUAACCGGAGCAGUGCCGUUGAUACUGGUUGGCGUGAGUGUCGGAGGGGUACAUGGAAUUGAUGGUGUAGCGGUGAAAUGCAUAGAUACCAUCAGGAACACCGAUAGCGAAGGCAUUGUACUGGCCGACAACUGACGCUGAUGCACGAAAGUGUGGGGAUCGAACAGGAUUAGAAACCCGUGUAGUCC
rnacentral:rRNA from 1 species